ensembl:lncRNA
UCCUUGUUCACCCUGCAGCCUUGUGUCUGCUAUCCAGAUGGACUCAUUACAACGAUUCCUCCACAGCUGCCAGGUGUGUGCAGAUGACAGGAAGGGGCUGAUGGAGAAUUCCCAUAUGACCAAUCAAUACUGAGAUGACAGUAGCAGGAUGGCAUGUGUGUUGCUGUCAGAGCUGUUGUUGGUGCCAGGCUCUAUUGAUCAGUCCUAACAGUUAUCCCAGCCCUUUAAACUCAACCCAGGACUACUGCAGCACAGAAUUAAAUGAAAGAAAUCCCUCAGAGACAACAGAAUGGGAGAACUGCAGCAACAGCGUUGUACUGAAAAGCAGAGGAUGGAGACUAUAA